rnacentral:rRNA from 1 species
GACGGAGGAUGCAAGUGUUAUCCGGAAUCACUGGGCGUAAAGCGUCUGUAGGUGGUCAAAUAAGUCAACUGUUAAAUCUUGAGGCUUAACCUCAAAAUCGCAGUCGAAACUAUUAGACUAGAGUAUAGUAGGGGUAAAGGGAAUUUCCAGUGGAGCGGUGAAAUGCAUAGAGAUUGGAAAGAACACCGAUGGCGAAGGCACUUUACUGGGCUAUUACUAACACUCAGAGACGAAAGCUAGGGUAGCAAAUGGG